rnacentral:misc_RNA from 1 species
UGAUAAAAGAAUUGCAAUGAGGAAAAACAAGGUAGAGGAAGUGUUAACUCCAGUUAAGAAGAAAACAAAAGCUAAGGAUGAAGAUGAAAAGAUUAAAGAACUUGUGAGUGAGUGUUAUGCUUCAACUAAUUUGGUCAGCUUAGAGGGAAAAAAAUGAAGAUACCUCCAAUUCUCCUUUCAAUAGAGCAUGCCUGGUUGUUCAAGUUGAUGCAACUCGUGAAGGUGAGUAUAGAUUUUUCCCAAAUGUCUUUAAUUUUGAAAACUGAUGAUCAUAAUUUUCUAUUACAGUUUUUAUAUCAUAAUUUUGUUCUUAAUGUCUUUUAACUUAUUUUUCUGUUACGUCUCUUAUUUGUACAUCUCUUCCACUAAGAUGCACAAGCACAAGGCACUUGCUUUACAUUGAGACUUCAAGAUUUUUUGGACUUUUUUGCUAUUUUAGGGGUAGUUCUUACUUCCCCUGGCGAGUGAUUUAUCUUUUUAAAAUGCUUCUAUCUUGUUUGCAAAAUGCUACCAAAUGAGGAUUGCCUUUCAGAGGAAAACAUAGAUAAGUUAAAGGCCACUAUUAAAUCACAUCUUCAUUCUACCAAAGAAGUGAACCUAGACAAAAUCUCAUGGAAGGUAGCAGCGAUACCACUAUCAGACAAGUUGAUUUCAACCUUGAAAAGUUUUUGAUAACUUUUCAAUAAACACAAUGCAUUGGAAUAACUACUUAAAUCGCAACCAAGGAUUGUAAGGUAUCAAUAUUAUAUGCAAACUGUACAUUGGAAACUAGUAUAAUAACCAAGUCUAAGAAUUCUUGAAAUAGAUGGAUACAUGCAUAGAUACCUAUAAGCCCUAAUAAUCCUACAAUUAUAAUUAUAUAAAAUCAUAAAAUUUAUGUAGACAACUGAUAAAAUUUAAUCUCUUAACCUUCCUUCCUAAUUAAAUAGUAACUAAAAUAAUUCAGUGUUGUUGGUUCAGUACACACUAAUCAACCUAUCAAACAAUUUAAAAUUUAAAAGUAGAAAAAAAAAAAGAUGAUCAUCAAGUACUCUUCUGUGAUGGCAUUGGAAAAAUAGCUUGAAACCUAGUUUUAAAAUUGGAUACCUCCUAAACCCAGCAUUUAUGCACCAUCAAUUCUAAAUUUGCCGUAAGCCCGUAAGACCGACUGAUUUAGAUAUUCUUACUUUCUCUCUAGGAGAAAGAGAAUAGCUAAUUGAAAUGUGAAAGAAAUAGAAAAAAGUACUAGUAUAUAAUAGCUAAUUGAAAUGUGAAAGAAAUAGAAAAAAGUACUAGUAUAU